CAGUCGCCGCGGUAAUACGGAGGGGGCUAGCGUUGUUCGGAAUUACUGGGCGUAAAGCGCACGUAGGCUGCUUUGUAAGUUAGAGGUGAAAGCCUGGUGCUCAACACCAGAACUGCCUUUAAGACUGCAGAGCUAGAACGUCGGAGAGGUGAGUGGAAUUCCGAGUGUAGAGGUGAAAUUCGUAGAUAUUCGGAAGAACACCAGUGGCGAAGGCGGCUCACUGGACGACUGUUGACGCUGAGGUGCGAAAGCGUGGGGAGCAAACAGGAUUAGAUACCCCCGUAGUCCCUGUCUCUUAUAC
rnacentral:rRNA from 1 species